GGAAGUGUGUGUCUUCUGUUUGUGAUGGCACGUAGCUGGACAUUGAUCGCUAGACCGUUAUUAGUGUUUGCAGAUCUGCUCAGUGGACAUCCGUCACACUAUUGUUCUCUCAACAUAAAUUUGCCGGACAGAUGUUUGGUGCUGAAGUUCUAGUGCCGGUCUUCUGUUGCAUCGACGCCGGGUCGAAACGCACAGUCAUGCAUUGUCCGUCCGGGUGUUGUUUCUGGUAAGGGUGGUGGUGCGUCAGCGUCGCCAUUCCGAGCCAAGGCUCCUCGGCCGGUAUACAAUUGCUAUGAGACCAGCACCGAAUUUCCCAGUCUGUCGUUUUCAAAAUUUCUUAGUUAAGUAACUUGGGUAGCUUAGCUUCGGAUUUUCGUAAAUUUACAGUUCAGAACACUUCCAUACCAGUGGCAUUGCCGAGCAAUUUGCCCAUUAAUUUU
rnacentral:snRNA from 2 species